UGGACCAAUGAUGAUGACUGGUGGUGUGUGAGUCCAGCAUGACGACUACAUGUGUCUGAAACUCUGAGGUCCAA
ensembl:snoRNA